GUCGCUAGAGGAGAAGGGAGCACCAGAGGGAGCAGCAGCAGAGCAGAGAAGGGAGAAGAGAAGGGAGCAACAGAGGAGGAACGCGAGGAGCAUCAGCAGAGGAGCAGCAGCUCGAGUAUAGAAAGCAGCAGAAAAGGGGCCACGCGAGCACUUAAUUAGCUUUCGUACCGUCUUAAAUCAUUAUCAUGGCUCAUGGUGGUCUUCCCGAGCUUCUUCAGCAGCGGUACGACGAGAACCAUAGGGGAAGGAUGAUAUUCACAGGACAGCAGUUGGGUCCGUUGCGAGCCCGGAGUGUUCACAAGAUUAAGGAGUUAGACCCUCGAUUUCACGAGCCACUCGCACGGGUAGGACUACUACCUUUCGCUCUCAUGAUGGCCGGAGCUCCCAUGGCGGGUGGUGGUAGGACACCUCUACCGGCGAUUGAUGAGGCACUGCUCACAGGUCUCGUCGACCGGUGGCGUCCUGAGACGCACACUUUCCACUUUCCUUUUGGCGAGAUGGCUGUAACAUUGAAGGACGUGGCCAUGCUGACCGGGCUGCCAAUCAGGGGCGCCCCGUUAAUAGUUUCGCGACCCGCAAUGGAGCAGUGGA